AGCGUGAAAUGUCAGAAAUUACAGGAAUUUUACGGGGCAGAGUGAGACAGAUUCGGCUUGUCUGCUUACGUCUGGCAUCAUGAUAUCUACAAUUGCAAGUCGUAGCCGGCUAAACAAUAUCGGAUCUAUCCGGUUUGUACCAAACAUCACGGAAAAGGUUCGUCUUUACUUUUCAAUCUAUUAGGGCUACAAAACACCGACAAACGGUCGGUAGGACCACAUUUAUGGAUCGUUUUAUUAUUUUCUAUAUAUAUCUACAUCUAUGAUUCCUUAAAAAAAUUUUGAAGUCGUUUAUUUAACGGAUCAAAAUUCGUUUGUCGUUAAUAUGGGUUAUUGUUUUAGGGUUUGAUCGUUUA
rnacentral:lncRNA from 1 species